rnacentral:rRNA from 1 species
UACGAAGGGGGCUAGCGUUGCUCGGAAUGACUGGGCGUAAAGGGCGCGUAGGCGGCUUGGCAAGUCAGGCGUGAAAUUCCUGGGCUCAACCUGGGGGCUGCGCUUGAGACUGCUGGGCUUGAGGAUGGAAGAGGCUCGUGGAAUUCCCAGUGUAGAGGUGAAAUUCGUAGAUAUUGGGAAGAACACCGGUGGCGAAGGCGGGUCUCUGGGCCGAUACUGACGGCUAAGGAGCGAAAGCGUGGGGAGCGAACAGG